UGGGGAAUAUUGCGCAAUGGGGGGAACCCUGACGCAGCCAUGCCGCGUGAAUGAAGAAGGCCUUCGGGUUGUAAAGUUCUUUCGGUAUUGAGGAAGGUUGAUGUGUUAAUAGCACAUCAAAUUGACGUUAAAUACAGAAGAAGCACCGGCUAACUCCGUGCCAGCAGCCGCGGUAAUACGGAGGGUGCGAGCGUUAAUCGGAAUAACUGGGCGUAAAGGGCACGCAGGCGGUUAUUUAAGUGAGGUGUGAAAGCCCUGGGCUUAACCUAGGAAUUGCAUUUCAGACUGGGUAACUAGAGUACUUUAGGGAGGGGUAGAAUUCCACGUGUAGCGGUGAAAUGCGUAGAGAUGUGGAGGAAUACCGAAGGCGAAGGCAGCCCCUUGGGAAUGUACUGACGCUCAUGUGCGAAAGCGUGGGGAGCAAACAGGAUUAGAUACCCUGGUAGUCCACGCUGUAAACGCUGUCGAUUUGGGGGUUGGGGUUUAACUCUGGCGCCCGUAGCUAACGUGAUAAAUCAACCGCCUGGGGAGUACGGCCGCAAGGUUA
rnacentral:rRNA from 1 species